rnacentral:tRNA from 1 species
GGACUGUAGCUCAGUGGCAGAGCGCUUGCUUAGCAUGCUUGAGACACUGGGUUCGAUAUUCAACACCA